rnacentral:rRNA from 1 species
GACGAACGCUGGCGGCGUGCUUAACACAUGCAAGUCGAACGGAAAGACCCUGCUUUUUUGGCGUGCUAGAGUGGCCAGCGGAUGAGUAAGACGUAAGUAACCUGCCCGUCACUUUGGGAUAACUUCAUGAUGCUGGGGCUAGUACCUAAUAGAAGAUCGUGCUUCUUGGUGGGGGUUUGAAAGUUUCGUCGUUUGGGGAUCGACUCGCGGUUUAUCUGCUUGGUGGUGGGGUGUUGGCUUACCAAGGCGUCGCCGGGUAGCCGGCCUAAGAGGGUGACCGGCGACAUUGGGACUGAGGUACGGCAGCGACUGGUACGGUAGGCAGCAGUGCGGAAUAUUGCAGGAGGGGCGGAAGGCUGAUGAAGCAGCGUCGCGUGCGGGAUAGCGGCCUUCGGGUUGUAAACCGCUUUCGCCGGUAACGAACCGGGAGUGACGGUAAUGGGUACAGAAGGCCAGGCUAACUUCGUG